UAGUACCUUUACCUGAUAACCGUGGUAAUUCUAGAGCUAAUACAUGCUAAAAACCUCGACUUCGGAAGGGGUGUAUUUAUUAGAUAAAAAACCAAUGCCCUUCGGGGCUCCUUGGUGAUUCAUAAUAACUUAACGAAUCGCAUGGCCUUGCGCCGGCGAUGGUUCAUUCAAAUUUCUGCCCUAUCAACUUUCGAUGGUAAGAUAGUGGCUUACCAUGGUCUCAACGGGUAACGGGGAAUUAGGGUUCUAUUCCGGAGAGGGAGCCUGAGAAACGGCUACCACAUCCAAGGAAGGCAGCAGGCGCGCAAAUUACCCAAUCCCAAUUCGGGGAGGUAGUGACAAUAAAUACUGAUACGGGGCUCUUUCGGGUCUCGUAAUUGGAAUGAGUACAAUCUAAAUCCCUUAACGAGGAACAAUUGGAGGGCAAGUCUGGUGCCAGCAGCCGCGGUAAUUCCAGCUCCAAUAGCGUAUAUUAAAGUUGUUGCCGUUAAAAAGCUCGUAGUUGAACCUUGGACCUGGCUGAUCUGUCCUCCUAAUCGAGCGCACGGAUUCGGUCGGGUCUUUCCUUCUGGGGAGCCCUAUGCCCUUCACUGGGUGUAGUGGGGAACCAGGACUUUUACCUUGAAAAAAUUAGAGUGUUCAAAGCAGGCCUUUGCUCGAGUACAUUAGCAUGGAAUAAUAGAAUAGGACAUCGGUUCUAUUUUGUUGGUUUCUAGGACCGCUGUAAUGAUUAAUAGGGAUAGUCGGGGGCGUCAGUAUUCAAUUGUCAGAGGUGAAAUUCUUGGAUUUAUUGAAGACUAACUACUGCGAAAGCAUUCGCCAAGGAUGUUUUCAUUAAUCAGUGAACGAAAGUUAGGGGAUCGAAGACGAUCAGAUACCG
rnacentral:rRNA from 1 species